UGCAAGUCGAACGGCAGCACGGACUUCGGUCUGGUGGCGAGUGGCGAACGGGUGAGUAAUAUAUCGGAACGUACCCAGUAGUGGGGGAUAACUAUCCGAAAGGAUAGCUAAUACCGCAUACGAUCUAAGGAUGAAAGCAGGGGAUCUUCGGACCUUGUGCUAUUGGAGCGGCCGAUAUCUGAUUAGCUAGUUGGUGAGGUAAAAGCUCACCAAGGCGACGAUCAGUAGCUGGUCUGAGAGGACGACCAGCCACACUGGAACUGAGACACGGUCCAGACUCCUACGGGAGGCAGCAGUGGGGAAUUUUGGACAAUGGGCGCAAGCCUGAUCCAGCAAUGCCGCGUGAGUGAAGAAGGCCUUCGGGUUGUAAAGCUCUUUUGUCAGGGAAGAAAAGGUGCGCUCUAACAUAGCGUACUGAUGACGGUACCUGAAGAAUAAGCACCGGCUAACUACGUGCCAGCAGCCGCGGUAAUACGUAGGGUGCAAGCGUUAAUCGGAAUUACUGGGCGUAAAGCGUGCGCAGGCGGUUUUAUAAGUCUGAUGUGAAAUCCCCGGGCUCAACCUGGGAACUGCAUUGGAGACUGUAAGGCUAGAGUGUGUCAGAGGGGGGUAGAAUUCCACGUGUAGCAGUGAAAUGCGUAGAUAUGUGGAGGAAUACCGAUGGCGAAGGCAGCCCNCCUGGGAUAACACUGACGCUCAUGCACGAAAGCGUGGGGAGCAAACAGGAUUAGAUACCCUGGUAGUCCACGCCCUAAACGAUGUCUACUAGUUGUCGGGACUUAAUUGUCUUGGUAACGCAGCUAACGCGUGAAGUAGACCGCCUGGGGAGUACGGUCGCAAGAUUAAAACUCAAAGGAAUUGACGGGGACCCGCACAAGCGGUGGAUGAUGUGGAUUAAUUCGAUGCAACGCGAAAAACCUUACCUACCCUUGACAUGGCAGGAAUUCCGAAGAGAUUUGGAAGUGCUCGCAAGAGAACCUGCACACAGGUGCUGCAUGGCUGUCGUCAGCUCGUGUCGUGAGAUGUUGGGUUAAGUCCCGCAACGAGCGCAACCCUUGUCAUUAGUUGCUACGAAAGGGCACUCUAAUGAGACUGCCGGUGACAAACCGGAGGAAGGUGGGGAUGACGUCAAGUCCUCAUGGCCCUUAUGGGUAGGGCUUCACACGUCAUACAAUGGUACAUACAGAGGGCCGCCAACCCGCGAGGGGGAGCUAAUCCCAGAAAGUGUAUCGUAGUCCGGAUUGUAGUCUGCAACUCGACUACAUGAAGUUGGAAUCGCUAGUAAUCGCGGAUCAGCAUGUCGCGGUGAAUACGUUCCCGGGUCUUGUACACACCGCCCGUCACACCAUGGGAGCGGGUUCUGCCAGAAGUAGGUAGCUUAACCGUAAGGAGGGCG
rnacentral:rRNA from 1 species